rnacentral:piRNA from 1 species
UAAUGGACCAGGAAAUUGUAUCAACCUC